AUACCUUCUCCGCCUUGUGGCUAUGAUCAAGUGUAGUAUCUGUUCUUGUCAAUGUGACAACUGAUAUGUCUCCAACUGGAGACUUGCUUGUCACAUCUAUUUUUGCUGGGGAAGUGUCUUCAUGAGCUCGCUCAGAAGCCUUCACGUGCUGCGCUGGCAUAGCACCAAGCCAGUGGCAGCACACCCUAC
rfam:Symbiodinium microadriaticum strain CCMP2467 Smic.scaffold270, whole genome shotgun sequence.